AUGCACCUUUAGGGUAUUUGCAUUUAAUUUAACAUAUCAAAUCAUGUAACGUCUCACCAUUUUUGUCUCAUUUUAGCUGCACAUCUAUAAAAUAAGUUGUACAAGUUCAAUUUUUCCCGGCCCAAACAAAUAAAACAAAAACAAAUAAAAGUCCAUUAACAGUCCAAACUACAAGCCAAAUGACCAAAUCCAUUUGCAAACCCUAAAAUCCAAAAAAAAAAAAACUAAGCCCAAAGCCCACUAUCCUAAACACAUCAGAAACCCUAGUUUCCCCUUAACCCUUCCAACCACCGCCUCUACCAC
rnacentral:lncRNA from 1 species